UUGAACGCUGGCGGCAGGCCUAACACAUGCAAGUCGAGCGGAUGAAGGGAGCUUGCUUCUGGAUUCAGCGGCGGACGGGUGAGUAAUGCCUAGGAAUCUGCCUGGUAGUGGGGGAUAACGUCCGGAAACGGGCGCUAAUACCGCAUACGUCCUGAGGGAGAAAGUGGGGGAUCUUCGGACCUCACGCUAUCAGAUGAGCCUAGGUCGGAUUAGCUAGUUGGUGGGGUAAAGGCCUACCAAGGCGACGAUCCGUAACUGGUCUGAGAGGAUGAUCAGUCACACUGGAACUGAGACACGGUCCAGACUCCUACGGGAGGCAGCAGUGGGGAAUAUUGGACAAUGGGCGAAAGCCUGAUCCAGCCAUGCCGCGUGUGUGAAGAAGGUCUUCGGAUUGUAAAGCACUUUAAGUUGGGAGGAAGGGCAGUAAGUUAAUACCUUGCUGUUUUGACGUUACCAACAGAAUAAGCACCGGCUAACUUCGUG
rnacentral:rRNA from 1 species